rnacentral:rRNA from 1 species
GGAUUAGAUACCCUGGUAGUCCACGCCCUAAACGAUGAGAACUAGCCGUUGGGAGCAUCUAAGCUCUUAGUGGCGCAGCUAACGCGUUAAGUUCUCCGCCUGGGGAGUACGGCCGCAAGGUUAAAACUCAAAGGAAUUGACGGGGGCCCGCACAAGCGGUGGAGCAUGUGGUUUAAUUCGAUGCAACGCGAAGAACCUUACCUGCCCUUGACAUUGACAGAACCCUGAAGAGAUUCGGGGGUGCCUUCGGGCCUGGAAAACAGGUGCUGCAUGGCUGUCGUCAGCUCGUGUUG